CGGGACACGUGGUAUCCUGUCUGAAUAUGGGGGGACCAUCCUCCAAGGCUAAAUACUCCUGACUGACCGAUAGUGAACCAGUACCGUGAGGGAAAGGCGAAAAGAACCCCGGCGAGGGGAGUGAAAAAGAACCUGAAACCGUGUACGUACAAGCAGUGGGAGCACGCUUAGGCGUGUGACUGCGUACCUUUUGUAUAAUGGGUCAGCGACUUAUAUUCUGUAGCAAGGUUAACCGAAUAGGGGAGCCGAAGGGAAACCGAGUCUUAACUGGGCGUUAAGUUGCAGGGUAUAGACCCGAAACCCGGUGAUCUAGCCAUGGGCAGGUUGAAGGUUGGGUAACACUAACUGGAGGACCGAACCGACUAAUGUUGAAAAAUUAGCGGAUGACUUGUGGCUGGGGGUGAAAGGCCAAUCAAACCGGGAGAUAGCUGGUUCUCCCCGAAAGCUAUUUAGGUAGCGCCUCGUGAAUUCAUCUCCGGGGGUAGAGCACUGUUUCGGCAAGGGGGUCAUCCCGACUUACCAACCCGAUGCAAACUGCGAAUACCGGAGAAUGUUAUCACGGGAGACACACGGCGGGUGCUAACGUCCGUCGUGAAGAGGGAAACAACCCAGACCGCCAGCUAAGGUCCCAAAGUCAUGGUUAAGUGGGAAACGAUGUGGGAAGGCCCAGACAGCCAGGAUGUUGGCUUAGAAGCAGCCAUCAUUUAAAGAAAGCGUAAUAGCUCACUGGUCGAGUCGGCCUGCGCGGAAGAUGUAACGGGGCUAAACCAUGCACCGAAGCUGCGGCAGCGACGCUGAUGCGUUGUUGGGUAGGGGAGCGUUCUGUAAGCCUGUGAAGGUGUGCUGUGAGGCAUGCUGGAGGUAUCAGAAGUGCGAAUGCUGACAUAAGUAACGAUAAAGCGGGUGAAAAGCCCGCUCGCCGGAAGACCAAGGGUUCCUGUCCAACGUUAAUCGGGGCAGGGUGAGUCGACCCCUAAGGCGAGGCCGAAAGGCGUAGUCGAUGGGAAACAGGUUAAUAUUCCUGUACUUGGUGUUACUGCGAAGGGGGGACGGAGAAGGCUAUGUUGGCCGGGCGACGGUUGUCCCGGUUUAAGCGUGUAGGCUGGUUUUCCAGGCAAAUCCGGAAAAUCAAGGCUGAGGCGUGAUGACGAGGCACUACGGUGCUGAAGCAACAAAUGCCCUGCUUCCAGGAAAAGCCUCUAAGCAUCAGGUAACAUCAAAUCGUACCCCAAACCGACACAGGUGGUCAGGUAGAGAAUACCAAGGCGCUUGAGAGAACUCGGGUGAAGGAACUAGGCAAAAUGGUGCCGUAACUUCGGGAGAAGGCACGCU
rnacentral:rRNA from 1 species